GCACCUACUUCUUGUGUGAUAGGAUCAAGAGAGGUGACAACAGAGACAAGAGAGUGGAACUACUGCAGCUUUAUGCGAGGGAAAAUUUCCCUUCUGUUAAGUACAUGGAAUACGCGGUUCAGGUUGAAACCUACACACUCUCAAAGGCAAACAACCUAGUCCUCAACGUUGAUGGCGCCAUUGGUUCCCUCUUCUUGGAUCUCCUAGCUGGAAGUGGAAUGUUCACCAAACCAGAAAUCUGAAACCUACACACUCUCAAAGGCGAACAACUUAGUCCUCAACGUUGAUGGCGCCAUUGGUUCCCUCUUCUUGGAUCUCCUAGCUGGAAGUGGAAUGUUCACCAAACCAGAAAUCGAUGAAAUAGUAGAGAUCGGUUACCUGAAUGGU
rnacentral:lncRNA from 1 species